rnacentral:pre_miRNA from 1 species
ACAACAUUCGGACCAUCGGUCCACCGAGCAAUAUCACCCGCUCGGUGGAAGAAUUUUCCUCCGUCGU